GGCACCACUAAGGUCUAAUAAAGGAACUUCAUAUACAGUAUUAGGGACCACUAAGGUCUAUAUCAAGAUACUUCAGAUCCAUUAUUAGGGGACCACUAAGGUCUAUAUAAGAGAGACUUCAGAUACAGUAUUAGGGGACCACUAAGGUCUAUAUAAAAGAGACUUCAGAUACAGUAUUAGGGACCACUAAGGUCUAUA